ensembl:lncRNA
UGGAUUUGCCAAAGUCUUUAGGAAAACUGGCAAAGCCUUGGAUGGGGCAGCAAGUACCUUGUUGAAGGUAUGAGAAGAUCAGGUGAGUUCCAUGCCCCAUGUGUUGGUAUAAUGUUGAUCACACUAUGCAUUUCAUAUCUAUUUAUACUUCAGGAGUUGAAUUGCUAAUUCAUUCUUUUGUACAGUGUCUGUAUUCAACCAUUCUUCAAAAUUAAUGAAAUCCUUUCAGUAGAAUAACUCCAAGGAAAAAUAUUUCAUAUAGUUCAGAAAUUAACUGAAAGGUUUUACCUGAGCAAGGGGGCAAAGCAGAGGUAGUUUUGGUCAAACCAGCACAGAAGUGACAGGACUCUGAGUGUUCCAACAGGCUCUUCAACCUCUCCCCACUGUCUCCUGGAGGUUUGGCUGCUUGUUCCGAAGCCCAGAUGUGAUACAGGGAGGCUGUCUAAUGCUGUGUCAGAUUGCUAUUAACAGAGUGGUGUGAGAAAGAGCUGUUAAAUACACCUUGUUAGGGGCCUCCACACCUGCACUUGGUGGCCUAUCCACUUUGGUUUGGUGGCCCUGCCCUUGGCUUUUGUCUGAGACUUUUUUCUUUUCUUGACUGAGAAAUUUACUGAAACAAUCCUUACUCACUGACACAACUUCCUGGCUUGAUUCUGAAGCUGUGUUGUCACUUUGUAUUUGACUGGCAAAAGCUGGCCAUCACCAGAUCUGCUGUACUUGCCUUGCUUAGGAGCUACGGGACUGCAUGCUGCACUGGCCCUAGCUGGCACAGAUUUGACAGUGUUUCUAGCAGCCUGCUUGAUGCUGAUUUCUAGAUUUUUGCCUAAAACAGUGCUCUUAGAACACCAGUGUUUUGGCUUCUACUGGACAGACAGUGCUUGCACAGAAUGAAGACUCAAUUUUUGUCACUUUGCACCCCAGUGAGUAGGCUAGGGCUGAGCAAGAAACUGGGAGAGGACACUGAUGGGAUAGCUCUCUCAGACUUGCCAAAGGUAUAUUCCAUACCAUGUAACAUCAUACCCGGUCCAUGAAUAACACUCCCCUCUAUUUCUUGACCUUCACCACUGAUCUAUCUGUCCUAUGUUCCAGCCUAAGCCACUUUUUAAUACUUGGCCACUUUCUCUGUCUCUUCUCUCACUGACAAGAGCUCAGCCAUGUAAGGUCAAACUACUCACUGAUCUCAAUAUGGUUCCUUUAAUUCAGAGAAUAAUGGUUUGAGCAUUGAUACCAGUGUUAUUAGCUUUGAGACUCACAUUAAUGUGAUAGAGGUAGGCUGUAAUCAAUAACCAGUCACCUGCUGAAAUCUGUAAGCAUUCUGAAUACUGGUUAAAAUAGAAAGUUAUCGUUCUCAUCAUUCUUUAAGAGGAUAAUCUGAGAAGUAAAUUCUGAUGGAGCAAUAAAGCUGAGCUCAGACUGUAGGAGAUUGUUCUUACUAUGUAUUAUGUAACAGCACAUUCCCUGGAAAACAGUUAAAAUUUUUUGUUUGAACGCCAUUUAUACAAUCUAAGUAAUUCUGGAGAUAAUUAUACAUGUUAGUAAUUGCUUUCAUGUUAACUGAGUAUAUAAAAUUAUAAACCAUUUAGUCAUCCCAUUCAUUUUUAAUGCUUUCAUAUGAACAUUGGGAAAAUCUCCAGACUUUCCAAAGGAAGGAAUAUUAAACGAAUAAAUGCAUCUUCUGAUGU